rnacentral:rRNA from 1 species
UUAUUGGAGAGUUUGAUCCUGGCUCAGGACGAACGCUGGCGGCAUGCCUAAUACAUGCAAGUCGAGCGGAGUGGAUAGGAAGCUUGCUUCCUUGAUACUUAGCGGCGGACGGGUGAGUAACACGUAGGCAACCUGCCCUCAAGUUUGGGACAACUACCGGAAACGGUAGCUAAUACCGAAUAAUUGUUUUCUU